rnacentral:rRNA from 1 species
UUAAAGUCACAACGGCAAAAGAUGAGCAUGCGUCCCAUUAGCUAGUUGGUAAGGUAACGGCUUACCAAGGCUACGAUGGGUAGGGGGUCCUGAGAGGGAGAUCCCCCCACACUGGGUACUGAGACACGGACCAGACUCCUACGGGAGGCAGCAGUGAGGAAUAUUGGACAAUGGGCGCAAGCCUGAUCCAGCCAUGCCGCGUGCAGGAUGACGGUCCUAUGGGAUUGUAAACUGCUUUUAUACAGGAAGAAACACUCCGAACGGUGUCGGAGCUUGACGGUACUGUAAGAAUAAGGAUCGGCUAACUCCGUG